GUGACAGAAGAGAGUGAGCACAGAUGGUGUUUUCUUGCAUUGAUAUAUGUAUAUGCUUGAAGCUAUGCGUGCUCACUCUCUAUCUGUCAC
rfam:Nicotiana sylvestris Nsyl_contig38366, whole genome shotgun sequence.